rnacentral:lncRNA from 1 species
GUCGGACUCGAUCCGGAACUUCUUAAUUAUUGGCAAUAUUAAUUACGUGGAAAACAAAGGGGCCUGGAGUGGUGUAAUUUUUAAUCAACACCAUUGUACUAUAUUAGUUAUACAUAAAGUUGAAUUCUUUGAUUCAUCGUUUUUACGAGAUGACGGCUGACAAAUUGGACCUCGUUAUUUUAGUAUUAUAGAUAUCAAAUAU